rnacentral:ncRNA from 1 species
CCUGAAAAAGCCAAACCUGUCGUGAGGCGGGGACGGAAAGCCACGGGUCUCAUCAGACCGAGACAGCCGGGUUGCCAGAU